AAGUUUCGUUAAAUAUUUCGUUCAUUCAGUCACUUGCAUGAAUUUGUUUUACCGUGGAUGACAUUUCAAACGUCCUUGAAGAUGAUCUAUUACACUUGACAGAUGAUCUGGAUUUAGCUGUCAAUUUUAAACAUGUCAGGCAGCAAUGCCUAUUUUUAAAAAAAAAAAAAGCCAAGUCA